rnacentral:rRNA from 1 species
AUACGGAGGGUGCAAGCGUUAAUCGGAAUUACUGGGCGUAAAGCGCGCGUAGGCGGCUGAUUAAGUCGGAUGUGAAAUCCCUGGGCUCAACCUAGGAACUGCAUCCGAUACUGGUCAGCUAGAGUUUUGGAGAGGUAAGUGGAAUUUCCGGUGUAGCGGUGAAAUGCAUAGAGAUCGGAAGGAACACCAGUGGCGAAGGCGACUUACUGGCCAAAAACUGACGCUGAGGUACGAAAGCGUGGGUAGCGAACAGGAUUAGAAACCCUAGUAGUCC